rnacentral:rRNA from 1 species
UACGGAGGGUGCAAGCGUUGUCCGGAUUUAUUGGGUUAAAGGGUGCGUAGGCGGCCCCUUAAGUCAGUGGUGAAAGCCCGCGGCUCAACCGCGGAACUGCCAUUGAUACUGGGGGCUUGAGUACAGACGAGGUAGGCGGAAUUGAAGAUGUAGCGGUGAAAUGCUUAGAUAUCUUCAAGAACACCGAUUGCGUAGGCAGCUUACUAGGCUGUAACUGACGCUGAGGCACGAAAGCGUGGGGAGCGAACAGG